UAUUUUUGCACUAAAUAGUCACACCAAUUUCGCUCUUAGACUUUGAUACAGUUAAUUUAUGAGGUGUUGUUGUGAUGUUGCCCAUUACUUAUAGUUAUAAUUGGUGGCUGCAUAAUAAUUAAAAGUAAUAAAAGUUGAUAUAUUUUUGGAAGCCUUUCUAUGUGAAUUGGAGUGAGUUUGAGUGUUUAUUUCAUCAUAUUCGUUCAAUUUUCUGCAUUGGAAGAGGCAUUGCUUUUCUACUCAACCUGCACUAGAACUUCCGGCCGGUAAGAUCGUGGAUGUGCCGUUGGCACAAACUGGUGAAGGUAUUGCAGAAUGUGAACUUCUCAAAUGGCAUGUCCAAGAGAGCUACUAGAUUCUGAUCUUGAAAAAGGGAAACGUGCUGCAGUGUUAUGAACACCUGCUGUAAGGAGUCUUGCAAAGCAACAUGGUAUAGACAUAAAUGAAGUAUGUGGAACUGGAAAAGAUGGAAGGGUAUUGAAAGAAGAUGUGCUCAAUUUUACUGCUAAGAAGGGAAUAAUUAGAAAUGUAUCUGCUGCUUUGCAUGCUGAUAAUGUAGAGAAGCCUCAAGGAGCAGAAGGAUAGAGUAUGACACCUCACACCUGGUAUAAAUCACCAUCAGAGGAUAGGAUACUUCCCCUAAGGGGAUACCAAAGAGCAAUGUAAAAUCAAUGUCUCUGGCUGCCAAGGUCCCACAUUUCCAUUAUGUAGAUGAGAUAAACUGCAAUGCUCUAGUGGAGCUUAAAACAGCGUUUCAGAAAAACAAUCCUUAUUCAGAUGUCAAGCACACUUUUCUGCCAAUAUUAGUCAAAUCAUUGUCAAUGGCCCUCACCAAGUACCCCUCUUUGAAUAGUUGCUUCAAAGAGGAUUCAAUGGAGGUCAUAUUCAAAGGUUCACACAACAUUGGAGUUGCCAUGGCUACUCCAAAUGGUCUAGUUGUACUAAACAUAAAGAAUGUCCGGUCUCUUUCAAUCUUGCAGGUUAGUUUUCAAUCUUAUGAUUGCUUUAUGCACACAUUGUUAUUUCGAUGAAAGUGCAUGUCAUCAGUUAGAGAGGUCUGAAAGAUAAAUAUGAUUCAUAAUUUGAACUGCUUGAACAACAUAUAUUUUAGUUCUUGACUUACCAUUUUUCUCUUUCGCUGGACUGGUGGUAUUGGACUCAGCUCUGGAAUGGAGACUUGAGAGAAAAAAAAUAAUUUAUGAAAAUUUUAACCUAAUUCUCUAAAAUAUAUUAAUUAUGUGCUUAAUUAGAAAUUUUUAAUUAAAAAUAAAUGAUUUGAACAUUCUAAUGUAUA